GACGAACGCUGGCGGCGUGCCUAAUAAAUGCAAGUAGAACGCUGAAGGAGGAGCUUGCUUCUCUGGAUGAGUUGCGAACGGGUGAGUAACGCGUAGGUAACCUGCCUGGUAGCGGGGGACAACUAUUGGAAACGAUAGCUAAUACCGCAUAAUAGCAGACAUUGCAUGAUAACUGGUUGAAAGGUGCAAUUGCCCCACUACCAGAUGGACCUGCGUUGUAUUAGCUAGUUGGUGGGGUAACGGCUCACCAAGGCGACGAUGCAUAGCCGACCUGAGAGGGUGAUCGGCCACACUGGGACUGAGACACGGCCCAGACUCCUACGGGAGGCAGCAGUAGGGAAUCUUCGGCAAUGGACGGAAGUCUGACCGAGCAACGCCGCGUGAGUGAAGAAGGUUUUCGGAUCGUAAAGCUCUGUUGUAAGAGAAGAACGAGUGUGAGAGUGGAAAGUUCACACUGUGACGGUAUCUUACCAGAAAGGGACGGCUAACUACGUG
rnacentral:rRNA from 1 species